rnacentral:rRNA from 1 species
GGAAUUGUUCGCAAUGGGCGCAAGCCUGACGACGCAACGCCGCGUGGAGGAUGAAGAUUUUCGGAUCGUAAACUCCUGUCGAAUGGGACGAAUAGAUUGCGGGUUAACAGCCCGUAGUCCUGACGGUACCGUUAAAGGAAACCCCGGCUAACUCCGUGCCAGCAGCCGCGGUAAUACAGAGGGUGCAAGCGUUAAUCGGAUUUACUGGGCGUAAAGCGUGCGUAGGCGGUUCAGUAUGUCGGUCGUGAAAUCCCCGGGCUCAACCUGGGAACUGCGGCCGAAACUGCUGGGCUUGAGUGUGGUAGAGGGCGGUGGAAUUCCGGGUGUAGCGGUGAAAUGCGUAGAGAUCCGGAGGAACAUCAAUGGCGAAGGCAGCCGCCUGGGCCACAACUGACGCUGAGGUACGAAAGCGUGGGGAGCAAAC